GUGUGUGUUAGUGUGUGUGUGUGUGUGUGUGUGUUAGGUGUGUGUGUGUUAGGUGUGUGUGUGUGUGUUCGUGGGUGUGUCUGUGUCUGUGCGUGUGUGUGUGUGUGUGUGAUUUAAGUGAAAAGAGUAAAAACAAAGUACGGGGCUAGUGUCAGAAAACCAGCCAGCUCAGCCUUCUAAAACAGUAUCUAGCAAUUGCAGUUAACCAGCAUUUAGCCACAGACGCACCUCAGGAAGUACCUUUCUGAGAAAAGAAAAAGAACCAAAAUUAAUCGAUUUUCAUUUGCGCUGUUGGUCACGACCUAACAAAUUGAAGGCAACGCUUACCCUUGACCUCUCACCCUUGACCUCUUACUACCUCUCAGUAGUGCUUCAUCACACAGUUAAACAGAUAGGCUGCAUGAAUGGUAGGCGGGCUUGUUUACCAACAUCUAAUUAAUAUUAAAGCCGUGCAAUAUAACCUAAGGUAACGCUAUCUGUCAAGUGGACCAUGAAGGUAAGUAUAGUUUGCUCUCAAGAGCAAUGAAGCCCUUCUGCAGUGUAACUACAGAUCUACAGAGCAUGUUGUAUAUUUCAGUAUAUCCAGAUCAGUCAUGUAACAGUAGAUAGUCCACUUUUAGCAAAAACCAUGCACAUUAUCUUUGUAUGAGUUUCAGGCUUUGGUAAAUCACCAGGGGCAUGUAAAGUAUGGUGUAGAUUUUCACAAUCAAAUCGAUAUUAUUCUGUAGUCUGAUUGUUUGCCAUACCACACCAUUGAAACAAACAUGUGUAGCACAGUGUACUGUUUUUUUUUUUAUAUGGUGUGAAGUUAGCUUGCCAGGUGCUGCGUUGCUUUUGCUGGACCAUUGAAUCACUGAUGCCUCAGGUUAUAAAGUUGUAUGCUGGGUGAGGUUUGGUUGCUUUUGGGACUGUCUAGGAAGAUAUGCUGCAGAUUUAGAAAAAUUAACAAGGCAACCACACCAUAGGCUGCAGUAAUGCUCCUGUUUAAGGAUAGGUAACAAAUGUGAUCUGUGACAGUGGUACUUGAUGACGCUUUCUGUUCAGUAUAUCCCUGAGUAGGCUUUGUUAGCCCACUAAAGUUGGCAUUAGCAUUGCAGCAUUCAUUAAGUGUGAGGUGUAGUGCCAAAUUCAUUUUCUUUUCUACAAAAUAUGUACCAUUACUGUUCAGAAGAAAUCAAAGAAACUACAUAAUGGAAUGUGUUAUGUUUUAGAUAGCAUAGUGCUUUAUAUUUUUUUUAGCUUUUUGAUUCUCUGACCUUGCCAGUUUGGUCUGUGUGCCUGAUUGUUUACAGGUGUCGGAGUGUGGUGUAUGCAGUGUGUGAGUCUUGAGUCUUGACUGUGUAUUGUGUUGUACUGUACCAAUGUGUUUAUCCAAUCCGUCGGCCAUAUUUGAGUGUGGAGUCACACUGAUGUAAAGUACUUUGUAAAAUGUCACCCAGGGCUUAAUCAUUUCUACAAGAAGAGCAUCACCUUUGAAUCUCUUCAAUUUGGAACUGCAAAGCCGUUAACUCACAAAGAAACAGGCCAUACUGUUAAGUAUCAACCCUCCUAGAUAUACUGUAUAUCAGCCAUGCGUUAGUGUAUAGUAGUAUUUUCACUAAUUGCAAGGCUCAUUGACAUACUGAGUGAAAACACCUAGAGAUUAAUUCUGGUCAUGACAAAGAAUGAGUUCACCUGGGGUGAAUGAGAAUCAAGAAUGAACAGCGCCCUUUUUGUUUUAGUUGUACAGCACCGCAGUUAUGUUGAUCUUGUGUCUUUUCUUUAACUUUAAAAAAACAUGAAUGAAUCACUAAGAACAUGUAACAAGUGGUUCCAUCAGAUCUGGAUUGGUUGGACAGCAGCAGGAGCAAACGCAGUGAAAGUCUCUGUUAUUGAUGAAUUGCAAUAAUUUGAAUCUCCAUUCAUCAAUAUGAAAAACAGUUUAAGGAAAGCACACCCUGUCCCUACUCUCUGUACAGGGGCAUGGCCAACAAAUAAAGCUUCUACAGAUAUUACUGCAUUGAGGUCUGUCCAUUAGUGUGUGUGUUUGUGUGUGUGUGUGUGUGUGUGUGUGUGUGUGUGUGUGUGUGUGUGUGUGUGUGUGUGUGUGUGUGUGUGUGUGUGUGUGUGUGUGUGUGUGUGUGUGUGUGUGUGUGUGUGAGAGAGAGAGAGACAAUUCUAGCCAAGACAAAACAUCUGCCCCAAACUGCCGGGGCGGCAGUGGUACAGGAGGUAAAGAAGUCGUUUAGUAAUCAGAGGGUUGCUAGUUCGAUUCCCUGUCGAAGUGUCCUUGAGCAAGGCACUGAACCCCUAAUUGCUCCUGAUGUGCAGUGUGCCAUCAGUGAAAAUGUAAAAUGUGUAUACAUUGUACGUCGCACAUAUGUAAGUCGCUUUGGAUAAAAGCGUCUGCUAAAUGACUAAAUGUAAUGUAAAUGUAAACUGUUUGAGAUCAAUACACCCUCUCCAAGCUAAACACAAAACAGACUGAACACCAAUGACCACAGACUGAACACAAAGCAGAAGUCUCUGCCAUGACCGAAUACCCAGUGCAGGUAUCAGCCAUGUCCCACCUGAGCGCUGUGUGAGCGCUGUGCGCAGUGUGGAGCCUCCUGGGGCCCCAUCAGAGAGGCGGUGGAUGUCGGUACAACAGUAGUCCGCCCCAGUCGAGGAACUGACUGUGCUGUACGAAGCCUUACAUCGUGACACUGUAUACCCCCUCGCACUAUAGCGCUCAAAUGACUCGACAUGCUAUGGGAAGGGGAUUAGUGGCACUUACAUACCC
ensembl:lncRNA